rnacentral:lncRNA from 1 species
CAAAGACUGCCCUGAAGACGAAUUAUCUUCUUGGGCUGAUGUAUUGGCUAGAUGGAGAGCAAACAAUGCUAAACCACGACAAUUGAACUCUCUAGUCAACAAGGUAUUCCGGAAGCCUUGAGAGGAGAGGUGUGGCAGAGACUAGCACAAAGUGAAAAUGAUGAUGCAACCAUGGAUACCUAUAGAAUACUUAUCACCCAAGAAAGCAGUUGCGAAAGUGUAAUUCAAAGAGACAUCAACCGUACUUUUCCUGCGAAUGAUUUUUCAAAGAAGCAGGAGGAAUGGGCCAAGACUCCCUGUAUAGGAUAUCUAAAGCAUAUGCUGUUCAUGAUUCUGAAGUUGGAUACUGCCAGGGACUUAGUUUUCUAGCAGCCACACUCCUUCUUCAUAUGCCAGAAGAGCAAGCGUUUGUGUGUUGGUGAAACUAAUGUAUGACUAUGGACUUAGAGACUUGUAUAAAGAUGGUUUUGAAAAUCUGUAUUUAAGACUUUACCAACUCAACCGAUUGAUAGAAGUAAGUUCUUUCAAGCCAUAUCCACUAGGUAGAUACUAACCUAAAUGGUUUGAGAAAUAAGAAUUUAAGAAUCAGUUUGCAUGCUAAUGUCUCUGUAAGU